rnacentral:tRNA from 1 species
GCGGCUGUAGUCUAGGGCACUUUUUGCGUAAGCAAGAGAAGCCUAUGACCCGGGUUCGAAUCCCGGCAGCCGCA